rnacentral:lncRNA from 1 species
UGGGUUUCUGAACAGUGAAAGAAAAUGACAUGAUUUAAAUGACAGUCAUGGACACUGGAGCAGGAUGAAAUAGAUUGAAAUGAAAAGUCUAAAAAUGGAACAGCCCGCGAGGCAGCCACAGUGACUUGAGACUGCUGAUGGCCGGGCGUGGGGCUCAGAGAAACUCAGCUCAGUGGGAAGUGCCUACAUCCCCGGGCCCCAGGUGAAGAGGAAGGGGUGGGCUACAGGGGUCCGUCCAGGGGUUCUCUUCCACUCUCUUGAGGCACUUUCUUUCUUUCGUCUUUAGCACUCUCUUCCUCAGUGCCUCUGUCAAAGAGUGAGACCCAGACCCACAAGACACAGGAAGGAUGGUCAUAGGCCUUUUCAGAGUAACAGUUGCUGGCAGGAAAGCACCACGAAAACCACCUGGCCUUAGCUAGUCUGCACAAAGGCUGAGAAGUCCAGUCAAGGAUGGGAGACUCUCCAGCAGAGAACAAGCUACCUCGGGAUCAAGCAUAUUUCUAAAUCUAUGGGCAGAGGACGAGAUGAUUAAAAAGCAUUACCAACUCAAUGGACAUGAGUUUGAGCAAACUCCAGAAGAUAGUGAAGGAGCGGGAAGCCUGGGAUGCUGCAGUCCAUGGGGUCAUAAAGAAAGAGCUGGACACAACUUAGCCACUGAACAAGAAGAAGAAAGGAGAGUCUCAAAGCUGUUUGUCUUAAGAAGACACAACUUUAAAGCUGAACUGUUUGAAGCAAACCCUACUCUUUGGCUCAUGAAUCAGAAUUGCCUGGUGUAAGUUGAGAGAGCCAGUGAAGAAUGUGUGUUGCACCUGAAGAUGUGUUUCCCACCCUGGGAAGAACAGCAUGAGAGAUCUCUGAAGCACAGUGAGGGCUGCGGGCGAGGGUCGCAGAGCUCGGGCAGGAACCGGGUCGAUGCAGGGCUGCUGCCAUGUGACGACGGCUUCUUCCCUUCGGCCAGAGGAGCAUUACUCAAGGGAGCAAAGUACACACUCUGAACAGUGUCAAACCACAAAAUAGUUUUGCUCCCUUUUCUUUCCUUUUGCUUUCUUAACACCCUGGACAAAAACAGUGGAAGGCAAAACUGAAAGGAUGUCACUCUACAAAAAUUGAAAGUGUUAUGUCAAUACCACAACACAAAUGGUGUCAGAAAAUGGAACAACCGUGUUUGUGCUUAUACAGUCUGCUCAUAGCAUCUGAGUCCUUAGUUACCAGGGAAAAGGCAACAUGGUGGUAACUCUGCAAGCAAAUUAACCAGCAUUCUGUCCCUUGGAUGAGCAGCUACAAUCACGAUAUGGGAGGAAAGAAACAGCAAGUCAGACCAAACUACAGCCCUUGAGCAUCAUAUCGGCAGUAAAACAAUGCCUAAUUCUUUAAAUAUUAAGGGUGCCAAGUCUCCUUUCACGUUUUACGUGUGAUAAUACAAAUUCCAUGACUCCCUCUCUGUUAGGCUACACGGUCUCUGAAGUCAGAGUUUUUAUUUAUCUUUAUUUUUCCCCCUA